UACGAAGGGUGCAAGCGUUACUCGGAAUUACUGGGCGUAAAGCGUGCGUAGGCGGUUCGUUAAGUCUGUCGUGAAAGCCCUGGGCUCAACCUGGGAAUUGCGAUGGAUACUGGCGGGCUAGAGUACGGUAGAGGAUGGUGGAAUUCCCGGUGUAGCGGUGAAAUGCGUAGAUAUCGGAAGGAACAUCAAUGGCGAAGGCAGCUUCCUGGCCCAAUACUGACGCUCAGGUGCGAAAGCGUGGGGAUCAAAC
rnacentral:rRNA from 1 species